UCACGUCUUACGACGGCAGUUUCACUAGAGUUCCCAGCGUUACCUGAUGGCAACUAAGGACAAGGGUUGCGCUCGUUGCGGGACUUAACCCAACAUGUCACCACACGAGCUGACGACAGCCAUGCAGCACCUGUCUUCCGGUUGUAUUGCUACAAAAGCCCUAUCUCUAGGGUUGUCCGGAGAUGUCAAAUCCAGGUAAGGUUCUUCGCGUUGCUUCGAAUUAAACCACAUGAUCCACCGCUUGUGCGGGCCCCCGUCAAUUCCUUUGAGUUUUAGUCUUGCGACCGUACUUCCCAGGCGGGGUACUUAGUGCGUUAGCUCCGGUUCAGCAGGGGUCAAGACCCACCAAACCUAGUACCCUUCGUUUACAGCGUGGACUAC
rnacentral:misc_RNA from 1 species